ensembl:lncRNA
CCGAGGUCCUCUGCCGCGUGCACUAAAGUUAUGGCCGGUCCUGUCCGUGGUUCACUCUCUGAAAGGCCUAGGGUUUGGGUGAUGGCACGCCAUUGCACAUGGGACGCAAGCCGCAGGUUCCAUUUCAGAAGUAAUGGCUGGAUCCCUGGAAGCAGAUGGACUCGGUGUGGUUAGAGGGCAGAGGUAGAUGAUGCUGCGUAUUGAGCCCUCCUCAGCCCACUUUGAUUGAGGUGUUGCGCGGUGAGGAAGGGCCUUCGUGACCAGUCUGCAUGGGGGAGGCUGAACCAUAGUUUCUGGGCCUUCAAGGGGUGUUGCUGCAGCCACGGGGGCAGCCCUCCUGCGCCUGGACUUCUGCCUGCGAGCAGAGGAGCUUCCACACACAGCUCGUCAGAGCAUCCGUGCUUCUGCGCUAAGUGGCAGAUUCCAGGACGGCUCCAGGGGGCAUCAUCGAAAGGCGUGGCACAUCAGGGCCUUCAGGAUGGCUGCGUCCUGGUUAUUGCCCUGUGGUGCCAGAGAGAACCACACAGCCUGCUGCUGCUCCUGCCUUUAAUUUCCCAAAGAGCCAUCAAAAGACCUUGGACUUUGUUCUGCAAGAGGAGCUAGCAAAAUGGAGUGACUGUGGUCACCCUGGAAGCCUUUGACAGCUGGGGAGGCCCUGCUGAGCUUAGAAAACCAUCUGAUAGAUUUCCUGAGUAAGGAUUGGGCUUUGUAUUUUGAAGCACAAAUAAACUUGAUAAAAUUAAACUUGGUAUCAUUGUGGCUGUUCGAGUGAGCCUUAGAAACACUUAAGGACCGUUCCAGAAUAACACUUGAACUGCAGAAUCAGACUUUUUCUAGUGACCGACUAAAAACUGACUUGUCACUUAAAGCAUAGGUUAACAUUGCCUAACACCUCAACCAUCCAGUGGUGAUGGACUGGAGGGCACAGGUUUCUUCCAGAACACCUGGCUUCAAUUCCCAGUACCCACGUGGUGCUCCUGACCAUCUGUAACGGUGGUCCUAAGGAUCCUAUACCCUUUUGCAGACAUAGGUACCAGGCGUGUGAUAGCUACAUGCUAUAUAAUAUUAAUAUAUAUAUAUAUAUAUAUGUAUGUAUA